UACGUAGGGGGCAAGCGUUGUCCGGAUUUAUUGGGCGUAAAGAGCGUGUAGGCGGCUUGGUAGGUCCGCUGUGAAAACUCGAGGCUCAACCUCGAGAUGUCGGCGGAAACCACUUGGCUAGAGUCCGGAAGAGGAGAGUGGAAUUCCUGGUGUAGCGGUGAAAUGCGCAGAUAUCAGGAAGAACACCUAUGGCGAAGGCAGCUCUCUGGGACGGUACUGACGCUGAGGAGCGAAAGCCAGGGGAGCAAACGGG
rnacentral:rRNA from 1 species